GAUGAACGCUGGCGGCGUGCCUAAUACAUGCAAGUCGAGCGAACGGACCAGAAGCUUGCUUCUCUGAUGUUAGCGGCGGACGGGUGAGUAACACGUGGAUAACCUACCUAUAAGACUGGGAUAACUUCGGGAAACCGGAGCUAAUACCGGAUGAUAUUUUGAACCGCAUGGUUCAAAAGUGAAAGACGGUCUUGCUGUCACUUAUAGAUGGAUCCGCGCUGCAUUAGCUAGUUGGUAAGGUAACGGCUUACCAAGGCAACGAUGCAUAGCCGACCUGAGAGGGUGAUCGGCCACACUGGAACUGAGACACGGUCCAGACUCCUACGGGAGGCAGCAGUAGGGAAUCUUCCGCAAAGGGCGAAAGCCUGACGGAGCAACGCCGCGUGAGUGAUGAAGGUCUUCGGAUCGUAAAACUCUGUUAUUAGGGAAGAACAUAUGUGUAAGUAACUGUGCACAUCUUGACGGUACCUAAUCAGAAAGCCACGGCUAACUACGUG
rnacentral:rRNA from 1 species